rnacentral:rRNA from 1 species
GAUGAACGCUAGCGGCAGGCCUAACACAUGCAAGUCGAGGGGCAUCAUGGCGUAGCAAUACGCUGAUGGCGACCGGCGCACGGAUGCGUAACGCGUAUGGAACCUACCCACCGCAGGGGGAUAACCCGCCGAAAGGCGGACUAAUACCCCAUGGUUCCCCGACCCUGCCUGGGGUUGGGGGUAAAGCCUACGGGCGGCGGUGGAUGGCCCUGCGUGCCAUUAGCUGGCUGGUGGGGUAACGGCCCACCAGGGCGACGAUGGCUAGGGGGUCUGAGAGGACGAUCCCCCACACUGGUACUGAGACACGGACCAGACUCCUACGGGAGGCAGCAGUGAGGAAUAUUGGUCAAUGGGCGAGAGCCUGAACCAGCCAAGUCGCGUGAAGGAGAAGGUUCAUGGAUUGUAAACUUCUUUUGUAAGGGAAUAAAAAGGUUACGUGUAACUUAUUGUAAUGUACUUUACGAAUAAGGAUCGGCUAACUCCGUG